CAAGAAAUAGUUUAGAAAAAUACUUACUUUGGAAGUAAAUGUCCACACUCACGUGUGCUUCUUGA
rnacentral:tRNA from 1 species